rnacentral:rRNA from 1 species
CUAGCCUUUUAAUUGGAGGCCUGCAUGAAUGGCUUGACGAGCGCCCUGCUGUCUCUCUUCCCAUGAACUUUUAAAUUAACUUUCGCGUGCAAAGGCGCGAAUGGCUGAGUUAGACGAAAAGACCCUAUGCAUCUUUACUGAGAGAGAAGAAAGUUCUUUAGCUUGGUUUAGCUGGGGCAGCUGAGGAAAAGGCAAAAUUUCCUUAAUAUAGAUCAUACUGGUGGGUUUAGAUCCAGGCUCUUUAGCGGGCUUGACAAGUAGAAAAGUUACGCUAGGGAUAACAGCGUUAUCCUUCUGUGGAGGUCUUAUCUGCAGGAGGGAUUGCGACCUCGAUGUUGAAUUAGGGAUAUACCAGAAAGGCGCAGAAGCUUUUAUUGUGGGUCUG